AACCCAUGCUGAGGACAUUUCCCCAAGAGAUCCUCGAACCUAUCCCAUGUCUCAAAAAAAACUCCAAUUCCGUUUGCAUAAAAUACGAUAUUUCAUUCCUGAGCUU